GAGGCGUAGCUCAGCUGGUUAGAGCGCACGGUUCACAUCCGUGAGGUCACGGGUUCGAGUCCCUUCGUCUCC
rnacentral:tRNA from 1 species